UACAGAGGGGGCAAGCGUUUAUUCGGAAUUAUUGGGCGUAAAGGGCUCGUAGGCGGUUUGUCGCGUCGGGAGUGAAAACGCCGUGCUUAACACGGCGCUUGCUUUCGAUACGGGCAGACUAGAGGUAUGCAGGGGAGAACGGAAUUCCUGGUGUAGCGGUGAAAUGCGCAGAUAUCAGGAGGAACACCCGUGGCGAAAGCGGCUCUCUGGGACGGUACUGACGCUGAGACGCGAAAGCGUGGGGAGCGAACAGG
rnacentral:rRNA from 1 species